AUCUUAGCCAAAAGGCCGA
rnacentral:snRNA from 1 species